rnacentral:lncRNA from 1 species
UUUUUUGUCAAGUGUUUAUUUAUACCUACAAAAGAAAACAAGAUGGUAUCAAAAGGACAAUUUACAAACUAAGAAUAGUAGUAACAUAGCUCUGAGCAUCCUAUGCCCUAACAUCACGCCUACAAUUCAAGUCUCAAUGACAGGAAUGUGUUGAGAGACCAGCAAGGGCAUUAGCAGAGCACUGAUCCCAAGCAAAAGCCACCAACCUUUUUAGAUGAGAAGUCUGCACAAUGGAUUGUUAGGGAGCAGCAGCCCACAGCUUUAUACCUAAGCCCUUCCCCCUAAGUGAGUAAACCACAGAAGGCAAUCAACCCAGCUUCAGGGUUUGCCUGCACCUGUGCUGACAACGGACUGACAAGGAGGCAGAAGUCACUUGCGCUAAGUAGGAAAACUGCUAGUUUUCUGCUGUACCCAGGCCAAAAGAGCUUAUGAAAUAUGAAAUGUGCUAUUUAUCUGGAUUCUGCCUCUGCUGGAGAGGGGACAGAAGCAACCUAGCUACUGCUUCAUCCCCGGAGGCAGUAAUAGAAGGGGUGGGUAUUUUGAAGAGCUACAGUAGCACAGAACAGCCCAUGGUAUAAUGCUUAAUAAAAAAUAAAUCUGAAUUUGGUUGUAGAAAGUAUCUCUAACAGGCUGGUCAGUGUCAGUGAUUAGACACUUCCUUUUGGCAGGGUGAGAGACAGACAAGACAGGACAUACUUUGGUUUUAGAGCACAGAGCAGGGUUGCCACACAUCUGUGCCCACCAUCCCCCUUGGCUUCAGUCUGUAAAGAAAACAAAAGAAUGCCAAGCGUGCAUUCACAUGCGGAUACUCAGCAUGUGCCGACAACCUACCUGUUAUGUUACACACUGAAUCCUAUUUUCUGAGCCCCUCAAAACCAUCCCUUUUCUCUUCCUGAAAGAAACCUUAAUUGACUGUUACUAUAUAAAGCAGCAAGCACCCUCAGGGCACAGCCAAGGAAUGCAGUGGCGCCUGCUCCCUUAAACUGCACUGUGAAUGAACAGCA